rnacentral:rRNA from 1 species
AAUGGGCGCAAGCCUGAUCUAGCCAUGCUGCGUGAGUGAUGAAGGCCCUAGGGUCGUAAAGCUCUUUCGCCAGAGAUGAUAAUGACAGUAUCUGGUAAAGAAACCCCGGCUAACUCCGUGCCAGCAGCCGCGGUAAUACGGAGGGGGUUAGCGUUGUUCGGAAUUACUGGGCGUAAAGCGCGCGUAGGCGGAUCGGAAAGUUGGGGGUGAAAUCCCGGGGCUCAACCCCGGAACUGCCUCCAAAACUAUCGAUCUAGAGUUCGAGAGAGGUGAGUGGAAUUCCGAGUGUAGAGGUGAAAUUCGUAGAUAUUCGGAGGAACACCAGUGGCGAAGGCGGCUCACUGGCUCGAUACUGACGCUGAGGUGCGAAAGUGUGGGGAGCAAACAGGAUU